AUACCCUUUUGGUCACUCAAUUUUUGGGCGGCCAAAAUUUUCGUUUAAUAUUUGAAUUCCCGCUCACUCACAAUUCCCCAUACACCCCUCUUUUCUCUUCUUUUCAUUUUCAUUUACAGGGCAUAAUCAUCACUCCCAGCUUCAUCCCUACCUCAAUUCAAACUUUAAAACACACACACACUCUUUCUCCCUGUCCGUCAAAGAUCUAGAUCUGGAGUUGGAUUUGGAUUUGAUCUCUCUUCGCGAUACACCAUAAGUCUCUGCUAUGGAGGAGGGCCGACCACCGUUCUGGACACCUUCCCUCAUGCAGACACAUGUAGAGGAGAACGGAGCGACAGAGCCCUAGACGCAGGUUCUUUAUAUCUCUUUGAAGUUUGAUGCUUAAAACAGGUUUCUUGAUUUCAGAGAUAAAGAUUGAAUCAUCUGGUGUGAUGGAUAAAUUACAGAAAGAGAAGGGCUGUAAACCAACAAGAUUCUCAUCGUCCACUCCCUCUGUUCAUACUUCAUCUUAAUAAUAAUGUAUAAACAGGCUGCGUAUUGCUUGUCAGCUGUUUCUAUCGUGUUGCUUGGUUUCAGGAGUUAUGUUCUUUGCAUAUAGUAACUUUACUUCAGUAUUGUGCAGAAUGUAGUAAACCUGGUAACUUUACUCUUAUAAUGUUGUAUGAUAAUUGAUGCCUAAAUGUACAAUGUUGGGCGUUUGUAGGGUAUUCGCUUACUCUGAUGUUACUCCUUUAAUCUAGAAGAUAGUCUUAGACGAGUUGAGGAUAUAGUCCCACAAACUAUUAGUUCUCAGGGGUUCUCGCUGCCAUAUAUGAGAUGAGUACUGGGUUCAUCAGUCGAUAUCAUUAGAGAUGAGUACUGGAUAAAAAAGCAAUUUAUUUCUAAUGGGCUCAGGGAACGGGAACCGGCCUGCAGCUAGAAUCACGAUUGAAGACGACCAUUGUGUGAUACUUGAUGUAUAUGACAUUGACCAUCUCCUACAAUCAACUUGGCCACAAGAUGGUGGUUAGAGGUGACAUAUUCUUCUAGAAGGCUUGGCAGCAGCCCUUUAGUUAUUCAUUUACUUUAGUGUAUGAGGACAAUGAACGAGACAUGAUGCUUGUUGUUGGGGAUGUCCCGUGGUGAACCGUGUUGUCUCUUCCACCAAUAGUUAACGAAGCACACUCGGCUAUCUCUUUGAAGACCAAAAACGUGUUCAUCGAAUAUUGACAGGUUUGCUGGCUUCUGAGGUUGUUGGAUUAGAGGUGAAGGUACUGCACACUCAUGAUAGCUUGAACAUACUUUUCAGAGUUCGUAUUGUAACAAGAACGACUCCUGCAAGGAAGUUAUCGCUGAGUUGAAGGAAGCAGGUGCUACAUGGAUCCAGUUUCAGUUUGACGAGGCUACCCUCGUGAAGGAUCUCAAGCCCUACAGUUGGAAGCCUUCACUAAGGUGUACUCUGCGUUAGAAUCGGUUUGUUCGGGUCUUAACGUUAUCGUUGCAACCUACUUUGCCGAUGUUCCAGCUGAAGCAUUCAAAACGCUAACUUCCUUGCCUGGCAUUAGUGGUUACACUUUUGAUUUGGUCCGUGGUGAAAAGACUCGGUUUGAUCAAAGCAGCUUCCCGUCAGGCAAAUACCUGUUUGCAGGAGUUGUUGACGGAAAUAAACAUUUGGGCUAAUGAUCUUGCUGGAUCACUUACUAUCCCUAAGUCACUCGAGGGUAUUGUGGGAAAAGGUAGUUUUCUUUCUUACUUUAUAAUGCACCAGUUAGUAGGAGAAAUUGUGGGAGUUCAUGUAUAAUGUAUUGGUCUGGUAUCUUACUUACAAAACAUUGUAUAUAAUUGGUGAUGAAUAAAAUGUCGUUUGCUGUUAAAAAAAAAAGAA